AACGAACGCUGGCGGCGUGCUUAACACAUGCAAGUCGAACGAUGAACCCGGAGCUUGCUCCGGUGGAUUAGUGGCGAACGGGUGAGUAACACGUGAGUAACCUGCCCUUGACUCUGGGAUAACUGCGGGAAACUGUAGCUAAUACCGGAUACGACCCUCGGCGGCAUCUGCGGGAUUGGAAAGUUUUUCGGUCAGGGAUGGGCCCGCGGCCUAUCAGCUUGUUGGUGAGGUAGUGGCUCACCAAGGCGACGACGGGUAGCCGGCCUGAGAGGGCGACCGGCCACACUGGGACUGAGACACGGCCCAGACUCCUACGGGAGGCAGCAGUGGGGAAUAUUGCGCAAUGGGCGAAAGCCUGACGCAGCAACGCCGCGUGAGGGAUGACGGCCUUCGGGUUGUAAACCUCUUUCAGCAGGGAAGAAGCGAAAGUGACGGUACCUGCAGAAGAAGCACCGGCUAACUACGUGCCAGCAGCCGCCGUAA
rnacentral:rRNA from 1 species